GUGCUCCAUUCGGUAGCACAUAUACUAAAGUUGGAAGGGUACAGAGAUUAGCAUGGCUCUUGUGCAAGGUUGGCACACACAUUUGUUAAGGAUCAGGUACACAG